rnacentral:rRNA from 1 species
UACGUAGGCAGCGAGCGUUGUUCGGAGUUACUGGGCGUAAAGCGUGCGUAGGCGGUGUCUUAAGUUUGUUGUGAAAUCUCCCGGCUUAACCGGGAGGGUGCGGCGAAUACUGAGAUGCUGGAGUGCCGGAGAGGUAAGCGGAGUUCCUGGUGUAGCGGUGAAAUGCGUAGAUAUCAGGAGGAACACCGGUGGCGAAGGCGGCAUCCUGGACCGAUAUUGACACUGAGGAGCGAAAGCUAGGGGAGCAAACGGG